rnacentral:rRNA from 1 species
GGCCAGCAGCCGCGGUAAUACGGAGGGGGUUAGCGUUGUUCGGAAUUACUGGGCGUAAAGCGCACGUAGGCGGAUUAGUCAGUCAGAGGUGAAAUCCCAGGGCUCAACCCUGGAACUGCCUUUGAUACUGCUAGUCUUGAGUUCGAGAGAGGUAAGUGGAAUUCCGAGUGUAGAGGUGAGAUUCGUAGAUAUUCGGAGGAACACCAGUGGCGAAGGCGGCUUACUGGCUCGAUACUGACACUGAGGAGCGAAAGCGUGGGGAGCAAACAGGAUUAGAUA